UGAAACAUCCAGCUUGGCUGUUCAUUAUUUUAUUGAAUGAAUGUUAUUUUUCCUUGAAACCUGGAGAUUUUGUUCUGAUUAUUUAAAGGCAGAACUGGGUGGGGUUUUUCUAAUGUUUUAAGAUGUAAAAAUCUUAAGAGUGUUAGCUUUUUGCCUAAAAUAACCUUUCCAAAGGCACAAGUUUGCUAGGAGCAAGCCAUUCACUUUAAGAACUAGGAGACGUCAGCACCAGUUUCAAUUCUGACAGAUCCUAAUUAAAUAUCUGGUUCAGUGUCUCUCUCUAUCAUUGCGUUUUACUUACGGUCCCUGGUCUAAAAUGUUGAAAUUCUGAGGCAUGAUCAAAUAAUAUUUUUAAUUGAAACUCAUCAAAUAAGGAGUUCUUUUUCUUUCUUUCUUUCCUUUUUUUUUUCUUUCUCUGUUAAGGAGUUCUAUUUCUUUACGGGGUCCUUUCAUUAUUUUCCCAGAAAUUUCAGGAGGUUUUUGUAAGCAUUGUACAUUUGAAAUAACUGGCUGCUAACUUCGACCUAAUUUUCUGCCUUGUUUGAAAAGGAUUUUUUGUUUGGGUUUAGUGGGGUUAGGAUUGAGAGUGUGUGUGCGUGUGUGUGUGUGUGUAUGUGUGUGUGCAGAAAGAUAGAGCAAAAGAGAGAAAAAGCACGCAAAUAGUUUUGCUUUGAAGUCGCUACAUAAUUACCAUUAAGGUCUAUGAAAAUGUACUGAGUCGCAGCGCUCCUUGCUCAAAUCUGAUGAAUGAACAGGCAAACAGCGUCUCAGAAGACUUUUCAAAAGGAUGGAUCAAAUUAAGGACAAGAAGAAAUGUACCCAAGCCCUGUGUCCUUGAUGCAGAAAUUAGACAUUACAGACGGAACACAAAAAAAGAAGGGAAAACUCGUUGGUUUUCCUUGUUCAUUUCCUUUGUUGGAACACUGGCUUGAAACAUCUGAAGAGAAAUCGGUUGCAAAGUUGGAGAAUUUUUUCUUCUUUCAGCGUUGAUCAAACUAGCAGCCGCUUCCCAAGAAACUUCUUGAUGCCACACUGCCCCCUGGAGUAUGGUCUGGAGGGCACCCUCACUUCCACCUUCCACUUCCCCACUUUCUAGUUGUUUUUCUUACAAUGGGGAGAGGAUGGGGGCAG
rnacentral:lncRNA from 1 species